UUAGGAGAAACACCUAAUGUAGGAGAUGGUGGGGAUGGAUGCAGCAAACCACCAUGCAUGUGUAUAUCUAUGUAACAGUCCUGCACGCUCUGCACAUGUACCCCAGAACUUAAAGUAUAAUAAAAAAAUAAAUAAGAAUAAAUUUAAAAAAAAGAAAUGGUAAAAAAAAAAAAAAAAGUGUGCCUGCCUUUCCCAUAGUUGCACUAGGGUGAUUUGAGAGGCCACUAGCUUGAACCUGCUGAAUUCUAGGAAACUCUCAUUAAGAUUAAAAUGAGUGGGGCUUCACAGUAUCUCAGCUCCAUACACUUCGAAUGGAGAGAAGAGCAUUCUACAAAUGAACUGAGCAGCAGGUAUCAGGAUUUUCUUUUUUUGUUACAUCACUAAGAAGAUAAGAAUUAUUUUUAAAAUGCUGAUGACUAAAUAGAAAAUCAAAUUUCCAGCAUGUUCAGGAAGAAAUAUUAGUUCAAUGGAACAAUUCAGUAUUUCAGUGUUUACUGUAGCUAUCUAGCUAUCAAAAAGGGAGACUAGAAAUGAUAGUUUUAAAAAAUCAGUGUUCUAUUUAAAGAAUUAAAGGAGUUAGCCAAGAACAAGUACAGUAAACAUUUCAAGUUUCUACCAAAAAUCAUUCUGAUAAUUAUCCUGCUUUAUCUGGUAUAUCUCUCGUGAGAAUCUUAACCCCUGACAACGUUCUUUUCUAUGAUGUUAUCGUUUAAUUAAGCAGCUCCUUUCAGUUCCCCAAGGACUUCUUACACCUUUAUUUUUUUUUUGAAAUUAAAGAAUGCCCUUUAGAAUCUUUUGAUAUCAUCUUAAAGCUAUUCAGGUUUCUGGCAUCACUCAAAACAAUCAUAUUGUUUUUAUGUCACUAGUAAUAAGGAGAUUCACUGUAAGACAACAGUUUUUCUACCUUUUAAUACAAGGCAUAUAUGAAUAAAAUAAAAAUAAAUCUGUAAAAUAACAUUGGGAAAAAAUCUAUAUUUAAUGAGAACAAAUGAUGCCUGUUUUAUAUUCUACCCUUAAAAAUUCUAUUGAAAAAUUUCUGAAGACAUCCCGAUGAGUAAUUGUCAUUAUUCAGGUAUAGCUAACUUGAUCAUUUAAAGCAUAAUUUCACGACUUAUGAGUAUCACAUCUCUCAGUAUGAUAUACUACAUGGACAAUCUUCAGCUUUGCCAGUGUUAUUGAGGGAAACACGAUGGUAAGGGUGUCAGAUUUUCCUGCUGGAAACUAUUGAAGGACAAUGUUGUAAGUAGGAGACUGUGUAAUCUUGCCCAGUGAUUCAAUGUCAUCAAUUACUGGUGAACGAUUGAACGGAUGUAAUUUAUCAUUUUUGAAAUUAUUUCAAAUAGUAAAACACAUUUUAAUAAAUGCACUUAAACAGAAAAGGUUUUUUUUUUUUUUUAUUUUGAGACAGGGUCUCACUCUGUCACCCAGGCUGGAGUGCAGUGGUGUGAUCUAGGCUCACCACAGCCUCUGGCUCCUGGGUCCAGGUGCUCCUCCCACCUCAGCCUCCCAAGUAGCUGGGACUGUAAGCACAUGCCAUCAGCCCAGCUGAUGUUGUUGUUGUUGUUGUUAUUGUUGGGGACAGGGUCUCACUCUCUUGCCAAGAAGGCUGGUCUCAAACUCCUGGUCUCAAACAAUCUCCAUGCCUCGGACUUCCGAAGUGCUGGGAUUACAGAUGUGAGCUACCACACCUGGCCUAAAGGUGUUUUUUUUUCUAAAUCUUGCAAAAUCAACAUCAAUGUAAUGUACCUACUGAUUAUUUGAAGAAUUUCAAUGUAACCAUUAGGUGGACAUCCGGCAUAUAAUUAUAAUUGUUUUGGGGUUCACAGUUUGACUUAUCUGCCCUUUAUAUGCUAGCUACAUUAAACAUUUUUUUAAUAGUUUAUUUUUGUUAUUGGAAUGUAGGAAGACUUUGAGUUGAUGAUUUGAUGGUCCAAGUGUCUUAAUGUGGGAACUAGGACUCUUUUCUGUUAUUAAAAUUCCCUAUAGUAAAGAGAAUAUUUAAAACUUUUACUAGUUAAGAGCAAUAAUCACUUUGAGUCGAUCUUUGAAGACAUGAAAACAGAAGUUAUUUCUGUGGCUGCAGUAAGGACUUCAGCUCCAGAGGCUUGGACAGCGGGUGCCUGAACCGUCUAGUCUUUUGGUUCACUUUCUUUUCAUUGCUUACCAUUUCAGUGACAAUUUUAUGACAGCAGAAAAGGAAAAACAGAGACACAAUGAGGAGGCCUGGAAUCUGGUAUAGAAGCUUGAAAGUUGGAGUGGCAGGUGGGGAGAGCAGAGCCGGAGAGAGGAAAAGAGCAGUUAUGCACGUGUGUGUGUAUAGACAGAUAAGUAGAUAAACGGAUAGAAAGAUUGAUUUACCUAGAAAUACCUAUUUCUUUUGAAGCUGUGAGCAGACUGGUUGCUUGGAAACCAUUGAUUCCUCAUAAAUAAUGUGUUAAACCAUGCAUCAUAAAUUGACAACUUCUUUUCAGUGCCAAUGGGAAUAAGAUGAAGGAUUUCAGACCCACAUGGGCAACUUGAGCUUUGCAGAUACUCAAAGAUGGUUAACUUUGAAUAUUCAGAGAUGACAAACUGACAUCAGAUGAAGGAGAUAGUAUGAGUAACUCACUUCAUAGUUGGUAUGACAUGUGGUAGGCUAUCACUUAAUAAAGUUCCCUUUGCUCUUCACUGAGAACAGGUCAAGUCGAUAUUAAUAUUUGUAUAAAAUGUUUUAGCUGGUCAUAAAAGUCGUUUGUUUCUUUGCAUCAAUGGAGUGCAGUGGAAACAAAGUAAGUUUUAAAGUCAAACAGAAACAGGUGUGAAUUUCACCUCUCUCCUCACUUGCUCUGUGACCUUGUGCAAAUUAGUUGGUAUCUCUGAAUCCCAGAUUCCUCUUACAUGAAAUGAUAUUUAAAAUUUAACAAGAAUCAGGCCAAGCACAGAGGCUCACACCUGUAAUUCCAACACAUUGAGAGGCUGAGGCAGGAUGAUCGCUUGAGGCCAGGAGUUUCAGAUCAGCCUGGGCAACACAGCAAGAUCACAUCUUUACAAAAACUUUUAUAAAGUUAGCCAGGUGUAGUAGCACCUGUAGUCCCAGCUACUUGGGAGGCUGAGGCAGGAGGACCCCCUUGAGUUCAGGAAUUUGAGGCUGCAGUGAGCUGCGAUCAUACCACUAAACUCCAGCCUGAGUAACAGAGCAAGACCCUGUCCCUAAAAAAAAAAAUUUAACAAGAAGCAACUAUCCUGCUGUGAGGCUCAGAGAAAAUGUAUGUAAGGCACACAGGUCCUGGUGCCUUUUAUGACGUAGUGGGCAAGGUUCUAUGCGUAUGAGACACUGAGGUAAAGCACACAGACCAGUUCCUUGCUCUAGGGAGUUCAUAUUUUGGUAGGCAAGUGUUCAAUAACGGAUAGAGUUUAUUACUACAUGCAAACACUGCACUGUAAAGCACAGAGAAAUACUAGAUGGAACAUCUACCUUCUGGAGCCUGCAAUGUUUUGAGACAUAUUUGAGGUAGGAAAGAAAGAAUUAAAGGUCAAAGGGAAAAAUUGUAGAAGAAGGUACCACUAAAGAAAGGGGGAAGUGGCUUGGGGAAGAAAUUGGGCCACUGUUAAGGCAAUCCGUGGGCCUCAAAGGAAAACCUGUCCCCUCUGCUUCACCCUCGAGUGGUGGGAACAAAUGACAACAUCACCACUUGAGCAGCAACAGACAACCACAAAUUAACUGGUUACAGAAGGGCCACCUAUUAUGUUUCCACUCUCCCUGGUAUAAGAUUUUGAAGAAAAAAAAAUGACAUAAGACCAUAAUGGUAUACAUGUAACGUGUGUGUUUGUAUGUAUAUUUAUGCACAUCUGCAUCUGAGUGUUGGAUUGACAUGUUUCAAAACUGUGGGCAUUUACAAAAUUUACAGCGUGAUUAUGUGUUUGGGCUGCUUAUCCAUCGAUGCAUGAUUUUCAAGAAGGAAAGUGGAGAAGUGCCCUCAGUUAUUUCGGUCUCUUUUCUUCUUCACCAGGUCUCUUGAUGCAUAGGUGUGACCCACUGCAUAGGCCAGCAGAUGUUUUGUAAAUCCUCUGCAACUCUCUCCUUUGCAUUUCAGUUGCCACUGCCAGGUGCUUGCUCAUUCUUUUGCAGAGAGAAAGGAGAAGAGUGCAAAGAUGUCAUUGUGAAAAAUCCCUCUUCAUGCUGGGCAGUCUUUCUGCUGCUUUGCAGCAUGAGACGGCAGCAUUAGCAUCCACAGCACGGCAGGUAUUUCCCCUCGGGGAUUACGAUUUCUGUUCAGCACUGAGACAGUCUAAUGUGCUGAGAUUAUUAUCAUAUAUAAGGUUUUGUGUACUGUUUACCAGAAAAUACCUCCAAAAGGAAGACAGACUGAGGUUAAUACAUCUCUUUUGAGUGCUCCAUGCACAUCUGAGUGCCAGAAUUCUGUGCUUUAUUAAGUUCUUUUGUGGGCUCUGAUACGGAAUUGUGCACAUGUGUCCCUGCAACAUACAUUAUCUUAUUCCUUUCAAAAGGUGAUUUGUCUCACCAGAAGGCAGCAUUCUCCUAGGUUCUGCCAGAGUAACUUUGACUUCUUUGUUUAAAAUAGCUACUUUAUUGUCCUUAACAUUUCACCUGACAAAGUAAGCAAUUUAAUUGGGUGCACAUUUCAUGCACCUGCUGAAAGUAUUUGUCUCUUCCCUGCCAAUUCCUAAACCAAGCUGGCAAGGUGAAUAGUUUGAAUGUAAUUUGAUUGCAGAUAGCAAAACUGUGGAGAGGAGGGAACUGAUACCCAUACUGAAGCCAUCUCUUUAAAAACAAACAAACACACUGAGCUCCAAACACAUAACAUGAAAACUUCCACUCUCCACUUGGAAGAAUAAUUUUAGCCACAUGUUGAUAUUUAGUCACUGGUCACUGUGCCCAGUGGACUGCUUGGCACAUAAUCAGAGCUUGAUAAACAUGUGCAUUCAUUGAUAAAUAUUGAUGGCUGAUAUAGAGAAUGUAAUCUUGUCUGUUCUGGAAAUGGAAAAUUUUAAGUUGGUAUCAACACAUAUCAGAUAUUUUUUAUUGAGAUAAUACUGCAAAUUUCCUUCAAAAUAUUGACAGUUUAAAGGGUCUUUGUGUUCUAAUAAGCCCAAUUUCCUUUUAGCAUCUUAAGGAUCAUUACUGUUAGGUAAUAAAUCUUGUGGGCACAUGUUUUCUAACAAAACUGGGUAGACUGUGUGACUCUAGGAUUCAAAGCUGCAAGGCAUGCCCUGUUACUUACAAACCCAAAUCGGAUUUCUUAUGUAUAAGGUGCGCCAGGAACAUCUGGCUCUUUAUUGAGCUUUUUAGUCAUAAAUUUGCUUGUUAAGUUUUGAAGUAAUAUUAAUCUUACAGAAAUUUUGGAGAUAUAUACAUGUAUAACAUCAUCACCUUAACUCAAUGCCUCUUUCAUCCUUAUUUUUGGUAGCCCUAGAGAGUGUGUGAUAAUUGCAACUACAGUUUAUAUACCCAUUGCUUUAUUUUAUUUUAUUUAUUUUUGAAACAGGGUCUCGCUCUGUCACCUGGACUGGAGUGCAGUGGUACGUUCUUGGUACACCUCAAACUCCACCUCAGGUUCAAGCAAUUCUUCUGCCUCAACCUUCUGAGUAGCUGGGAUUACAAGCAUGUGCUACCACGUCCAGCUAAUUUUGUAUUUAAAGAGAGAUGAGGUUUCUCCAUGUUGGUCAGACUGGUCUUGAACACCUGACCUCAGGUGAUCCACCUGCUUCAUCCUCCCAAAGUGGUGGGAUUAGAGGCCUUAGCCACCGCGUCUGGUCUUUUUUUUUUUUUUUUUAAUGGAGGCUCACUCUGUCACUCAGGCUGGAGUGCAAUGGCCCAGUCUCAGCUCAGGGUCUCACUUUGCCACCCAGACUGGAGUGCAGUGGUCCAGUCUCAGCUCACUGCAGCCUCUGCCUCCCAAGCUCAAGCAGUCUUCCUACCUCAGCCUCCUAAGUAGCUAGGACCACAGCUAGGACACAUUCCACUACACCUAGCUAACUUUUUCUUAGUAUUUUUUGUACAGUUGGGGUUUCACCAUGUUGCCCAGGCUGGUCUCGAACUCCUGAGCUAAAGGGAUCUGCCUGCAUCAGCCUCCCGAAGUGCUGGGAUUAUAGGCAUGAGCCACCCUGCCCAGCAGCAACUUGCUUUUUUUUUUUUUUCUUUGUUUUCUUCAAAGAUAAUGUCCUCUCAUAAGCAUUUUAUGUUGCUGCAUGGUCUUCAUAGUUGUAGGUAAUUCCACCACACCUGGUAUAAUCAAAUUCAUAGAUGUGAUUUUUAAUGUCAGCAUUAUAUACAUACAUAUACAUAUUAUAUACAUAUAUACACACACACAUAUAUAUAUAUAUAUAUACACACACACACAGCUAUAGAUAGGUAGGUAGGCAGAUAGAUACGGAGAAAUAAUAGCCACUCACUGUUUGUAAACCAAAGAUUCAGCAGUCUCAUCUAUGACAAAAGAGAUGAGUCAAAAACCAAGAAACAAACCCAAAAGGUCUUUGAAUACUCAAAUUAUGUGACACAAAGCUUAUUAAUCUUAAACACAGCAUUUCUCAAUACUCAUUGAGAAUCUAUAAUGUUACUUUAUGUGUAAAUUCAACACAUGUGGUCUUAGUAUUGAUUUUAGUAUUAGUAUUAGUAUUUGUAGUGGCUUGACACUGUUAGGCCAAAGAAAACAAAAAACUCUGAAAAGAAGCAUGCAUCCUCAAUAAGGACAGCAGCUUACAGCCUUCUAGUAUAAGAGAAAAAUGACUGAAUACAUCCCAAGGUGCUUCAGUGGCACAGUAUCCUCAUUAAGAUUCAUGGUAAUAAACCAUUUAAAAAGUGCUACUUUAUAUUCAAGAUGCUGUGUUUCCAAAGGCAGGAAAACAGCUAAUCUAUCUUGAGAUAUUUCCAUCCAAAAUCAAUUUUUAAAAAAUUAAAGCUAAGGCUUAAAGGAACAAAACUCCUCAAAAUUUGCCUCUUUGAAACAAUUUCUAUCUUGCUGAUUUAAGUGAGGUUUUAAAACUAUUCACUGUUUCCUAUAUAUUAUCUUUUAUUUGAACUUUGAUAUAUCCCACUGUCUCGAUGUGAUUAGAAGAAGAGCAUUUCCUGAGACAACAGCUGAUUGUUGGGCGAUGCUAGAAUUUAACAUGAUAAAGGAGAAAAGGAUAAUAAAUGGUCCAUGACAACAAAUAUUAUUCUCGAUGCAAUGCACUGAGAUUUUCAUUACUCUAUCCAUAACUUUAGGCUGGAUCAAUAGCACAUAACGAUUAUAAACGGAGUAACUAAACAACCCACACAGGAAAUCAGACCUGUGUGCUAACAUUUUUAUCCUAAACAUCAGAAAUAAUCACUCACUAAUGGAAGAUCAAGAUAUGUCCAUUUUCUCUGAAAUACUCGUACCAAUAUACAUACAUGUGCAUAUACAUGUGUUAAAAUACAAGAUUUUCUAUAAACACAGAUAUAUAUAAGGGUGCUUGCUCAUAUUUCUUUUCUCCUACUAUCAUUUUUUUCCCAAGCUUCUUUAGGCUCCAUUAGACUGAAUCAAGGCGCCAAUCUCAUUUCUAUUAAAAAUCUAAUGUAACUGGUAGAGACUUUUAUUUGGAAAUUUAAUAGCACUUCACUUAAAAAGUGGGGGAGGGGUAUUUGAUAAAAGGUUUCUCAAGACAUUGGUUUGAAGCAUGUCUGAUUAUCUCAUUUUAAAUGACAUUUAAUAGGUUUUUCUUUUAGGUCCUGAUAAACAUUUCAGUCUUACUGAUCACUUUGAAAAUAAGACAUGGGAACUUGAGGAAAAUGGAUGGGUUUCUGGUUCUGAAUGUUUUCUCAAAUGGCUUUCUGCUGCCAGAGAACACGAAAUGAACUCCCCUGAGAAAGAAAUCUACCUCAAUUUAAAGGAAGUAAAUCUUUCUUUCUUCUUUUCUUUAAAAAGGUCUGUAAAUUCUUGGGUUAAUGGCUGAGAAUCAAAGGACAUUCAUUAGAACCACUAAAAUGCCAAGGAAAUGAGACUUUUUUCCCGUGUUUCUCAAAGCACAUUUAAUCUGAUUGACUCCCAGUAUCAAUGAUUGUUCUAUCUAGAAUGUCAUAGACAGGCACUGUUCUUCUUAAAUAGAAGUCCAAUGACUUUGCAGAUGGCGCCUGAUUCAUCUCACAGUGCAAGUCCUCUAAAGGUGACAUGGAUGCCCCCGCUCCCCAGCAGGAAUUCUCCAGUGGGGCAUGAGUUAGGCGCUGCAGUUUUCCCAACAUAAGAGCAAGGACAGAAGCUCCCUAGGAGAGUGUGAAAGAAUGAGCCAAUUAGGAAGGCUUUGCCACAUGGCCAGUAGUUCUGGAAGACUUAGUAGCAGAGCCCACACAAUUAACAAUAAAGCACUUGGGCUUCAGUGUGGUAAGGUCCCAUGUCCGUGAUUCGGUCAGCCAGACCCUACAGGCAUUUCCUUGUAUGAACGCAUAUACUUGCCAGGAAGAGAAGAUACCCUAUGUGAGAGAAUGAGAGAAUGCUGAGUGGUCUGCAACCCCCUGUGAAAAGGAGCUUCAGCAGAAUUCUUUGGAGACAUGGAUGAUAGGUCUGAUUGGAAGAGAAAAAAUAGACUACACAGCACACAGUAAUGGUAGUGGACAGACUGUGAGCAUGUAGGUCAGACAGCCUGGGGCUGUCACAGAGUCCAUAUGGGCAGGAAGUGCAAGAGCUAGGAAAUUUUGAGAUUUUGCUGAUGUUAUGAUUUCAUUGCUUUGCAGAACUGAUGAGGCCUGGCAUCGUUCAGGUCCCACCAACUAUGAUGUCAUAAACCAUCAUCUGUCCAGCAUUUAGUAGUUUUGUCAUCCCCCAGAUAAUGAAAUAAUAAUGAGGGAAAUGUCUUUCUUCUUUUUCCCCCGGAAUUCCUAGGAAUAUUUGAAAUAUAAAACAAAAAUACACAAUUCAUAUCACCAGGAAUUAUAUUAAACUAUUAAUUAUUAAUUAAACCUUACAUUAGGAGGUUUAAAUUUCCAGAAAAUAAAUAAAGCCAAUAUCUGUUCAAAGUGAGGUGAGUCAGAGACUGCUUGAUCACUGAGAUUUCCUGGGUGACUUCAUGCUGCAAAAAUUAGUGCCUGCUUCUGUCUCCUGCUCUGGCUUUGAGAUCUUAGGGGAUUUCUUGUCUUCUGUGUCCUUUCUCCUGUCAUGUCCUGGUAUUUGACUGCAAGGACUGAAACUUGGAACAGUCAUGAAUUCUUUCUUUCCUCUUGGCCCCAGUCAUAUUUUACCUCUUCAUCUCCACUACCGAUUCUUUUUUACUUUUUUAUGACAAAAUUUCACUUUCGUGGCCUAGGCUGGAUGGAGUGCAAGAGCAUGAUCUUGGCUCUCAGCAACCUCCGCCUCCCGCGAUCAAAUGAUUCUCCUGCCUCAGCCUCCUGAGUAGCUGGGAUUAUAGGCAUUCACCACCACACCCAGAUAAUUUUGUAGUUUUCGUCCAGACAGGGUUUCUCCAUGUUGGUCAGGCUUGUCUGGAAUUCCCUACCUCAGGUGAUCCACCCGCCUCGGCCUCCCUCCGCUCCCUAUUGUUAUCCCCAACCCUAUGCCAGAAAGUGGAUCUCCUUCCUUUUUCACAACUUCCAAGAAGCCACCAGAAUAACAUUGGUUACUGCUGCCCUAGCCUAUGGUCUAACUCCUCCCUCAUUUACAUGCACUGCGGAUACUGCUGGUCAAUAUGCCUGCACUCUUGCCCAUCAGGCCCACGUGCAGAUGCAGAGCUGUCUUUCACUUUUGCUCCAGGGAGCCACUGCUAGUUAAUCAACUUUGCACACAAGAUGAAAUUUUUUUGCCAUCCCUUCUGUAUGACAUUGCCUGGGGAAGGAAAACUUCACUCCUUCAUCAUUUGUUCUCACUUUAGCAGAAAAUCACUUUCCCAAUUGAGUCUCCAGUCGCUUUUGAGUCUCAGAGUGAGACUCAUUCAGUCUUGGUGUUUGUUUCCCAGGGCUGCUGUAACAAAAUAUCCAAAUCCGAGUGGUUUAAAAAUAAUAGGAAUGUGCUGUCUCACAGUCUGAAUCCAAGGUGUCAGCAGGGACCUGCUCUGUCUAAUGGCUCUAAAGGAGGAGCCUUCCUUGCCUCUUCCAGCUUCUGGUGUUGAGCAGUCCUUGGAUGUGUUGGCUUGUAAAUGCAUCAUCCCAGUGAACUCCAGCCUGGAAGACAGAGUGAGACUCUGUCUCAAAAAAUAUAUAAUAAAAUAUAAAAAUAUUAAAAAUUAGGUGUUGCUCUACCAAAUGGUUUCCUCUCUUGUCAUGUAUUCUGUGAUUUUUGGUACUACCACUGAAAAACAAUAUAUAUUUUUUAUUUUAUUUAUUAUUUUGAGACAGAGUCUCACUCUGUUACCCAGGCUGGAGUUCAGUGGUGCAAUUUCGGCUCACUGCAACGUUCACCUCCUGGGUUCAAGCGAUUCUCCUACCUCAGCCUCCCGAGUAGCUGAGAUUACAGGUGCACACCCAUAUGCCCAGCUAACUUUUCUAUUUUUGGUAGAGACGGGGUUUCACCAUGUUGGCCAGGCUGGUCUGAAAUUCCUGACCUCAGGUGAUUCACCCACCUCAGCUUCCAAGAUUGCUGGGAUUACAGGCGUGAGUCACCAUGCCUGGCGGAAAAACAACAUGUUUAUUAUGUUCUAAUAUGUUGUAAGAGGUAUUGAGGCCCUAAGAGAAAUUAUUGGGAAGCCAAUUUGAAGUAUCAGUAAAUUGAUGAGGGCCACGCAAUGGCUCAGAGCUGGGGUGACCCAUCCUUUCUCCUUUUCUUCCUCCCUAUCCUGUAAAAACAAACACAUCUAACAACAGAAAACAAAAAUCUUACCAAGGAAAGUCAUAAUCUCAAUCAGAAAAACCCAACUUUAGAAAUAAUAAUACCAGACAUAGAAAUACGGAGGAAUGCAGAAUAGGAUGGCAUAGCAGAAGUCAGGAACCAGAUUCUGAAUCUGCCACUGCCCAGAGUGGCAGAGUUGAGCAAGACAGCUCACUUUCCUGGGAAUCCAUUUCUUUCACCUGUCAUAAAACAGACCAGAUGAUUUCUGAAAUCUCUUUAGAUUUAUAUUUACUGAUGUAUUUCUAGGCAGCAUACAAAAAUCCCAAAAAGCCCUCUAGUUCUAUGGCCUAAAGCCUUCCAAUAUUCUGGAGAGCUUUCUGUGGUCGAUUCUUCUCAGUGGGUCACAAAAGUAUACAAUUAUUGCUGGUAGGAAAUGAAAAAGGUAAACAUUGCUCAGAAAGUAUUCAAAGAGCACUGAUGUUACAAAAAAAAAAUCAUUCCUCACUCUGAUAGUUUAUGAUAGCAAAGCUUGUAGAACUUGCUUUUAGGAUACAAACUCCUUAUCCCAACAUGCUGAAAUCAGGGCAAUCUCUGGAAGUCACUGACUCUUGGGUCUGAUGAGUAUGUAAAUUCAUCACCUUGCUUUGUCAGCACUGGGCGUAAUGCAUCCUACAUGAAGAAAUUGUAACUUACAUCCUAAAAUCUCUAGGUGACUUCGCUGCUGUGGAACCUUUGCUAUAUUAUUGCAACCCGAAGCAUCGAUAAUCCAGCCUUCUAACCUAAAUCUCCAGCACUGCCAAUUUCAACUCAAUUUAUUCAAAAGGCACAUAUUAAGUGUCUACUGUCAAGAAACAAACAUUACAAAAUGUAUAAAAUUGAAUAAAAAAAUCCUGGGCUCAAAAAUUGUACUCUCUUGCAGAAAUCGUAGACCUACGUCAUGUGUGCUGCCAUCACCUUGCUCCAGUGUCCCUUGCAGACUUUUUUUUGUUCCUGUUGAUGGACACAGCUUCAGCAUCUUUGACAAAACACCUAGACAGGCAAAAAGAAGCUGAUCAGAUUUGGCACAGGAGAUAAUAUCUAUUUGUUAACUCUGGUUGGCAUGUCAUGUCAUGAGUCAAGACAAUUUUUUAAAAUGCAAAGUCAGGAUUCAAAUAAUGUGCUAAGAGAGGGAAAAUGAAGGAGGAUUUAUUCAGAAUGAAAGGAGCAGAGAGGGUGUAUUAGUCCGUUCUCACACGGCUAAAAAGAACAUACCUGAGGCUGGGUAAAUUAUAAAGGCAAGAGGUUUGAUUGAUUCACGGUUCGUCAUUGCUGGGAAAGCCUCAGGAAACUUACAAUCAUGGUGGAAGGCACCUCUUCACAGGGUGGCAGGAGGGAGAAUGAAUAGCCAGUGAAGGGGGAAGCUGCUUAUAAAACCAUCAGACCUUGUGAAAGCUAACUCACUAUCAUGAGAACAGGAUGUGAAACUGCCCCCAUGAUUCAAUUAUCACUACCUGGCCCCUCCCAUGACACGUAGGGAUUAUGGGAACUGUAUAGCAUUCAAGAUGAGAUUUGGGUGGGGACACAGCCAAACCAUAUCUGAGGGCUUCAUGGAUGAGAAGGUACUUACAAGAGACUUUACAAAAUUAAUAUGAUGUCAGUAGAUAGACAUCAUAUUUAGGGCAUGAAUGAAUUCGUGUCUAGGACAUGAAUAUUCCUGACUGUGAUAACAGCAGGAACAAAGAUGUAUAGGAGUUGUCAAUACAUAUAGGUGGAACAACAUGCAUUGACAACCCCUGGUGACUGGGUUAUGUGUGUAUAUAAGGCUAUAGUGGGAACCAAAACAUAACUAAGAGUUAUGCCAUGAAAAGCCUUCAAUAUAUUAGGAAGUUGAAUUUUUUAUUCUGAGAUGGUGGAAAUGCUUUUAAGGGAAAGCAAUAAUGUACUACUUUAAUCAAUUAAUUUAAAAUGGAACAAUAAAUGCCUAAAGUACCCAUUUCUCCAAAGAGCUGCAAAGCACAAGGUUUCUCUAAAAUCUGCUUAAAGCUUUGUCAUGGAAAUGUGUAUGUUUCUUUUUUAUUUCAUUCCCUCAGAUGUAGGGUAGUAGGCCAGGCUAAUAGGUUGUAUUUUUGGUUGAACAACUUGUCUCAGAGGAUGUUUGUACCUUGGUAGCAUUUUCCCUCCUUUCUAUCAAAUCUGGGUAGACUGCUUUGUUGUGUAGGUAACGAAAUAUCGCUGUAAGAUGGGUGAAUUUUUGUCCAGGGACUUCCUGAAUACCUAAUUUUUAAAACAUUUUGCUCAGUUUCUGCACAGUGAAACAAACUCAACAGAGUAAACAGACAACCUACAGAAUGGGAGAAAAUAUUUGCAAACUAUGAAUCCAACAAAGGUCUGAUACCCAGAAUCUAUAAGGAAUGUAAACUAAUCAACAAGAAAAAAACAAGCCCAUUAAAACGUGGGCAGGGGAUGGGAACAAACACUUCUCAAAAGACAUACAAGAGGCUAAGAAACAUAUGAAAAAAUGCUCAACGUUUUGACUUGCAUCAGAGGGAUGCAAGCCGAAACUACAAUGGGGUAGUAGUAUGUUACACCAGUCAGAAUGGCUAUUACGAAAAAGUCAAAAAUAUCAGCUGUUGGCAAGGUUGUAGAGAAAAUGGAAGACUUAUAUGUUGGUGGGAAUGCAAAUUAGUUCAGCCUCUGUGGAAAGCAGUUUAGAGUUUUCUCAAAGAACUAAAAAUACAUAGAACUAUCAUUCUACCCAGUAAUCCCAUGUGUGUGUAGAUGGUCCCUCCUCCCCAAGCUCUGGUCUUUUCACUCCCUUUAAUGGGUACCUUUGUACACUAUUCCUAUAGACAGCAACGUGCUCAGUAGUCUGAAGCUGUAACAAAGCUUCACCAUUGUGAAAGCUUGUCCUCUGCUUAUUAGAACUAUUCAAAUAUACUAGUUUACAAAGCUGUAAAAUGAUAGCUUUGAACUUCUUGAUGUUCCAGGACAGUCCCGCUUCUUGACAGCCUCCUACAUUGUUCCCACAAAUGUCCUUGAUCUUGUUGGAUUUGGGGGAUUUGUUUCUGACAUAAGGAAUAGAAUGUGUGGUAUGUUUUCCUCCACCUAUAAAACCUAAUGAUUCCAUUCCCCUAGGGAAUGCAGAUGGUUCAAUGAUGGGAGAGCACCGUUUUGGCCCUAGGUUCCAUCCUUUGCUUUUUGUCCUUUCCCUCCUCCCUCCCCACCCUAAGAAAGGCACCCACCUCCAAGAGGAACAGCUGAGGGAGCCUCAGAGAUACUCGCUUCCUGCUUGAGAGAGUGAUUCUAGAGGGAGAUUUACAACUCUUUCAGUUAUGUUUUCUGUCGUCUGGGGAUAGGCAUGGUACUCAGCAAAUUUCAGCCCAAGCAACAGUUUUGGGGAAGAAGCAUAAUGACAAUAAUGCCAGAAUUUAUUCUUUCCCUGUGCCUAAGUAAUUCAAGCUGAUGGAGGUGUUCGUGGUUACAGACUGAAAGACUUUCACUUCCUCUCAUCUAGAACAAAUUACAGUAUGUCAAGCAAGCAGAUUGCACAUAUUAUAGGACCUGAGCUUUUCCCGGUAAAGGAAAAGAGUCAGAAAAAUAUUAGGAUUGCAUUUUUAACUUCACUUAUGGGCUACUUUAACCUCUUCCUCUCUCCCCACCCUUCCACCCCCACAUCCCUGGUAGAGGACUGACUCCAUGCAACUCUGAAAUUCUCCCAUCAGUUUUCCUCCCCGCCCCCAAAAAAAGAAUGGAAAAGUUUCAAGAAUUCCCCCCCCCGUACCCUAGGACUGCUAUUUUUUUUUAAUGUCAGAAAGAAUUGGUACCUACAAGCCUCCACCCACUCAAUAUUCUUUCCUCCCACACACAUGCCAUGUCUUUGCAGGCUGAUUUGGGGUAAUUGAGAAGUCAUAUUCAAAAUGUACCAUUUAUGUUCACAACAGUUAAGGAUGCUCUGCAGGAUGCCCAACUUCCCUCUGCAAAUAAAAUGCUAUGCAAGUUGCCUUGCUGAGAAGAGACUCUGUGCUUUGGUGACAGAAAAGAAAUACCAACAAUAGAUGGGAAGGGUUUCCAGCAGGAUCAUAUGCUAGGAAAUCAAGUGGCCUGUAGGUGCUAAACUAGCUUUCUGUUUCUCACUGCUGUUGCACUGAAUCAAAGCUUUUGAAGGAAAUACGUGGUACCUUACGGGUUACGGGCCAUCAUGCCAUUUUGCAAAACGCUUUUUAAUCCUCCUCUCUCCCUCCCCUCAGUUGCCUGUUGUGUUUGCUAAGCUUUAAGCUUAGCUAAUAGUUUGGAACCUGUAGUGAUGACAGAGAGAGAAAGAGAGAGAGAGAGGAGAGAGAGAUGAAAGAAUAGAGAUACAGAGAGAGCUAUGGAGAGACAGAGAUAUAGAUAUAAAGAAGAGAGGGAGACAUAGAGAUACAGGAAGAAUGAAGAGAAAGAACUAGGGAAACAGAAAAAGAAUAGACAGGGGGAAAGUGAGAGAUGUAGGAGAUAAAGAUACAGAAAUAUAAAAGUAGAGAUGAGAGAGACAGAGAUGAGAUCGAGAGGUAGAGGUAAAAAUAGGGAGGUCAGGGAGAACUGGACAUGAGUUUCUUCUGUCCUAGGGUUGAGGGCGGACCUCUAUGGGAACCGUCCACUAGGGAGAGUAGGCAGUAAGUCAACCAGGAGGCACUGAAUCUGACUUAUGUAAAUACAAGACUAAAGAAUCACAGAAUGUAAAGGUCAGUAAUCCAGUUUAACACCAGCUUUUAAGCUGAAAUGAGAAGAGCUCUUGGAGAGAUUUCAUGGUUUAUCUGGGGUCACACAGCUAAUUGAGAUACUAGGGUUCACCAGGCUACAAGCUGCAUCAGGCACUGAUGACAGGAAAAUAUUCAGGUCUCCAACAGAGAGGGGUUGCAGCAUACUUAGGCAAAUGCUCAGUUUUGGACCUCCAGCCUGGGUAUUUGUACUGGUCUCUUCAGUUCAGAGGUCAAGACCAAAACCCAGGUCACGAGGCCCUCAUCCUAGCACUCUAGCCUUCACAGGAGGCACCUGUCUAUCUUCUGCAUCUUCUGCGCUGGCUGCUUCUAGGAGGCAAAGGAACCUUGAACCUUAAUAGCCUCAUUGCAAACCAGAAAUAACAAUGCCUAAAUAAUUGGGUUUUUCCAACAACUGAAUUACCUAAUAUACAAGUUAUUUCUAUUUGUCAUGCUCUUUUCUAAAUUCUUAGCAUGUACCAAUUCCUUUGUUAGUAACCAUAAUGAUUUCCAGCUCAGUUAUUAUCCCCACUUCAUUGAAGGGGAGAAUGAGGUACAGAGAGGGCAACUGACUUGCCCCAGAGGUGAAUUAAUUCGAUGUUUGACAAGGUGCAGAUGAAUGGAGGAAUCAGAAUUUUAACACUAGCAUUCUUGCUGGAGAAACCCAGUCCAUUAUCAUAGCUCUCUCUCUCAACGCCUAAUACACAGUAGCACUUCACAAAAGGCAAAUUCACUGUCACUAUCAGCAUUAAGAAUUUUAAAGUCAUGGUUACCACAUUGCAAGAUGGUCAAACAUCAAUAGGUUAUUUGUUGGGGUUUUUCCUCCUUUCGUUUCUUACAUGAUUUAAGUAGAUUAUCAGAGGAAUGAAGCAAGGGGAAGGGAGGAACUGGCCUGUCGUCUGUGUGUGGGUAGACACAUAAGACAGUCUGUAUGACUAGGCCCCUCUGUUUUUAGACUAACAUUGCCACAGUUCCACACCAAUCCAUAGACAUAUGUGCUGGGAGUAAGUUCAGGUGCUAAAGCCGGGUGCAGUGGCUCACGCCUGUAAUCCUAGCACUUGGGAGGCUGAGGUGGGCAGAUCACAAGGUCAGGAGAUCAAGACCAUCCUGGCCAACAUGGUGAAACCCCGUCUCUACUAAAAAUACAAACCUUAGCUGGACUCGGUGACAUGAGCCUGUAAUCCUGCUACUCGGUAGGCUGAAGCAGGAAAAUCACCUGAACCAGGGAGUCGAGGUUGCAGUGAGCUGAGAUCGUACCACUGUACUUCAGCCCGGUGACAGAGUGAGACUCCAUCUCAAAAAAAAAAAAAGGAAGUUCAGGUGAUCAUUGCAUAGGCCAGCCAUUCUAACCCUUCAUAUUUCUGAAGUUCCUUAAGGAGUGAUAACCAGCUUUUUUUCUUGUUGUUCAUGAUGAGAUGGUAUGCAUUUCUAAAGAUGCAUUUGAUAUGAAAAGACAUAUUCUAGAGUUGUCAAUCCCAGUAGAGAAAAAGGAGAGGACACGUGAAGCCAGGAGUGGGUGGGAGAUGUCCGCAGUCUUUCAAGACAAGUGGAUCAAGACCCUUUCAUCAAUUUCACCAAAAUAGCACCUGGGGAAGAAGACGAAGAUACUGCAGAGAAACAUGGAAUGGCAGAGAAAGAAAGGGGCAGUGGGAAAGGGUGAGGGGAGGGGAAAGAGAAGAAAGUUGUCAAAUUCUUUCUUACUGUCCUGAAAAUAGCAGAAGGCAUAUGUCCUGGUCUUUCCCAGGGGAUCAUAGAGAGAGUGUAGCAACAGUUUAUGGAAACUUAAGGAGUGUUUAAGGAGUGCUGGAGCAGCUGCCUCCAAGUCCGGAUCCCACUGCUGUGUGCCCCUGAUGCCCGCCCGACAUGCAUUCCUGGUUCCUUUUGGUUCCAAGUCCAAAAUGGCAACUCUCAAGGAUCAGCUGAUUCAUAACCUUCUAAAGGAAGAACAGACCCUUCAGAAUAAGAUUACAGUUGUUGGGGUUGGUGCUGUUGGUAUGGCCUGUGCCAUCAGUAUCUUAAUGAAGGACUUGGCAGAUGAACUUGCUCUUGUUGAUGUCAUUGAAGAAAAAUUGAAGGGAGAGCUGAUGGAUCUCCAACAUAGCAGCCUUAUCCUUAGAACACCAAAGAUUGUCUCUGGAAAAGAUUAUAAUGUAACUGCAAACUCCAAGCUGGUCAUUAUUACGGCUGGGGCACGUCAGCAAGAGGGAGAAAGCCGUCUUCAUCUGGUCCAGCGUAACGUGAACAUCUUUAAAUUCAUCAUUCCUAAUGUUGUAAAAUACAGCCCGAACUGCAAGUUGCUUAUUGUUUCAAAUCCAGUGGAUAUCUUGACCUAAGUGCCUUGGAAGAUAAGUGGCUUUCCCAAAAACUGUGUUAUUGGAAGUGGUUGCAAUCUGGAUUCAGCCCGAUUCCAUUACCUGAUGGGGGAAAGGCUGGGAGUUCACCCAUUAAGCUGUCAUGGGUGGGUCCUUGGGGAACAUGGAGAUUCCAGUGUGCCUGUGUGGAGUGGAGUGAAUGUUGCUGGUGUCUCCCUGAAGACUCUGCACCCAGAUUUAGGGACUUAUACAGAUAAGGAACAGUGGAAAGAGGUUCACAAGCGGGUGGUUGAGAGUGCUUACGAGGGGAUCAAACUCAAAGGCUACACAUCCUGGGCCAUUGGACUUUCUGUGGCAGAUUUGGCAGAGACUAUAAUGAAGAAUCUUAGGCGGGUGCACCCAGUUUCCACCAUGAUUGAGGGUCUCUAUGGAAUAAAGGAUGAUGUCUUCCUUAGUGUUCCUUGCAUUUUGGGACAGAAUGGAAUCUCAGACAUUGUGAAGGUGACUCUGACUCCUGAGGAAGAGGCCCGUUUGAGGAAGAGUGCAGAUACACUUUGCGGGAUCCAGAAAGAGCUGCAAUUUUCAAGUCUUCUGAUGUCAUACCAUUUCACUGUCUAGGCCACAACAGGAUUUUAGCUGGAGGUUGUGCAUGCUGUCCUUUUUAUCUGAUCUGUGAUGAAAGCAGUCAUAUUUUAAGAUGGACUGGGACAAACAUCAAUUCCAGAAGUUAGAAAUAGGAAUGGUUUGUAAAGUCCUACAGCUAUAUUCUGAUGCUGGAUGGUGGUAACCUUGUGUAGUCCUAAACUGGUUAGUGUGAAAUAGUUCUGCCAACUCUGAGGCACCACUGCCAGUGCUGCGCAUGCUGCAGUUGCCCCUUGAGCCAGAGAGAUGUUCAUUUGUUAUAUAACUUCCUGGCUCCUUCACUGAACAUGCCUAGUCCAACAUUUUUUCCCAGUCAGUCACAUCCUGGCAUUCAGUGUAUAGAUCCAAUAUCACAUGUCUUGUUCCAAAGGAUCUUAUUUUGUGAACUAUAUAAGUAGUGUACCUUGCCAUACAAUGUAAAAAGAUCUACAUGUAAACAGUGCAACCAACUAUCCAAGUGUUACACCAACUAAAACCCCCAAUAAACCUUGAACAGUGAAAAAAAAAAA